rnacentral:rRNA from 10 species
UGACCUCAAAUCAGGUAGGACUACCCGCUGAACUUAAGCAUA